rnacentral:lncRNA from 1 species
UCUUUCAUAAUAACACAUUUUGUAAUAUAUGUGUCCUGACAGACUUCAUGGAUGUACAUCUCAGAGACUGAUUGUGAAGUCGUGGCCUCAGCUCUGAAGUCCAACCCCUCCCACCUGAGAGAGCUGCACCUGGAUAUAAUAUCACUGAAGGAUUCAGCAGUGAAGCUGCUGUGUGCUGGACUGCAGAGUCCAAACUGUAGACUGGAGACGCUGAGAUUGAGGGUCUACAGGCUGUCAGAGAUCAGCUGGGCUUCUCUGUUCUCAGCUCUGAAGUCCAACCCCCCCCUCCUGAGAGAAGCUGGAGCUGUGGAACAUCAAGCCUGCAGGAUUCAUCAGUGAAGCUGCUGUGUGACCUUCUGGAGAGUCCAGACUGCAGACUGGAGACUCUCAGGAUCGAUGACGAGUUGAUCACAGCUGAGAAACACACAACAUGUGAGUAUUGCAGCAUAUCCUCCAUUCAUCCAGAUAUUACAUGAACAUCUGAUCUUAAAAUGAGAUGCCCUCAUCGUACACAAACUACUUUCAAUUGUGUUUCUGUUUGAUAUAUAAAAUAUAUAUUCUAUUUCUAAAAUA